UUUUCAGCUCCUUUCUAGUUUCUUUUUUCCCUUUUUCCUUUGAAAACUUCUCUACCCCGAUUUGCAAUGGAAUUCAAAAGCAUUAUACAUUUUCUUCAUGGCAAAACAAUUCUAUUAACUGGUGUUACUGGCUUCCUUGGAAAAAAGUAUUAGAGCUGGUCAAUAAAUUGCUAUGCCAAUAUUUUCAAGGGAUGUGCCUCGACCUAAAUCGAAAAAUUAAUAUUGUUAUGCGGCUGGUCGAUCUUUAUCUACCUUACUUGUUCUUCAAUGGCAUAUUUGAUGAUAUGAAUACGCAAAGGUUGCUAUCAGCCGCAAAACAAGAAGAUGUGGAAAUGGAUUUAUUUUACUUUGACUCUCAAAUCAUUGAUUGGGAAGAUUAUUUCAUGAAUAUCCAUAUUCUCGGUAUCUUCAAGUAUGCCUUGAAGUGAUGUGUAUAUGAUCAAACAGUUCACUAUUUGCACCCAUUUUUUUAUCCAAAAAUAAAUGUGUGAUUAUUGUUAACGUAUGUUUUAUUGUAUUAAUGGAUACUCAAACUAGGUAUAAAACGGAGAAAAUUUAGCAAGUGUAUUUUGAUCGAACACAUAGGGAAUCAUUGAAAAUUUUACGCAUUUUAACAUGCGAACGAGUAUAUAUAUAAGACAUAAUA